AAGCUUGAAGAUGAAGAACUCGUGUCCUACAUCCUCACUGGAUUGGAUGUUGAGUUCAAUCCCGUGGUGUCUGCAGUUGCUGCUCAGGUUGAACCCAUCUUGUGGGAGAAUUAUAUAUCCAACUUGUUAGUUUUAAGC
rnacentral:snoRNA from 1 species